GCAAGAAACAAAGUCAUGCUAGAAUGUACAGAGGUAACAGAGACAGAUAUGGACUUGAGAAGACAACUUGGCUCAAUUCCUAGCUCUGCAACUUACUAGGUUUGUGUCUUUGGACUGCAUCCUAACAACUGUGUCAAGACAUUAUUCUACACAAAUAUAAUAAAAAGGAAAUGAUACAGAUAAAAGAAAUUAAUAGAAUGGAAAGUGAUGGAGAUAAACAAGUGAAAAGAUGGUCCUUUGAAAAGACUAAAACAUGGCUAAUGCACUGGCAAGAAUGAUUGGGACAAUAAACAAAAUAUAUAUGCCAGGGCAGCUCCCGGUGAGAUUGACGCAAAAGGAACCGACCUUCGAUCAUCUGCAUGUGAGACUGCUCCCAGAAAGGGGGAACAAUGUUAAUUACCCACAGACUAUGUUGGCUCCAGGCUUUCGGCAUUACGUCUGUACUAAAUAAAAGCAAGCGCUCCAGCUUAUUAAAACUGCUCACUCUUUGGCAGUCCCCUAGCUGCUCUUACACUGCA
rnacentral:lncRNA from 1 species